UUCCCUUAGUAACUGCGAGUGAAGAGGGAAAAGCUCAAAUUUAAAAUCUGGCAGUGUUUCACUGUCCGAGUUGUAACCUAGAGAAGUGUAACCUGCGCUGGACCGUGUAUAAGUCUCCUGGAAUGGAGCGUCACAGAGGGUGAGAAUCCCGUCUUUGACACGGACUACCAGUGCAUUGUGGUUGUGCUCUCAACGAGUCGAGUUGUUUGGGAAUGCAGCUCUAAAUGGGUGGUAAAUUCCAUCUAAAGCUAAAUAUUGGCGAGAGACCGAUAGCGAACAAGUACCGUGAGGGAAAGAUGAAAAGAACUUUGGAAAGAGAGUUAAACAGUAUGUGAAAUUGUUGAAAGGGAAACGUUUGAAGUCAGUCGCGUUGGUUGGGGAUCAGCCUGACAUUUGUUGGGUGUACUUCCUGGUUGACGGGCCAACAUCAGUUUUGACUGCCAGAAAAAGGCCAGAGGAAUGUGGCACCUUUGGGUGUGUUAUAGCCCUUGGUCGUAUAUGGUGGUUGGGACUGAGGAAAGCAGCGUGCCGAAAGGCCGGGUUUCGACCACGUUCACGCUGAGGAUGUUGGCAUAAUGGCUUUAAGCGACCCGUCUUGAAACACGGACCAAGGAGUCUAACAUGCAUGCGAGUGUUUGGGUGGAAAACCCUUACGCGUAAUGAAAGUGAAAGUUGAGAUCCCUGUCGCGGGGAGCAUCGACGCCCGGACCAGAACUUUUGGGACGGAUCUGCGGUAGAGCACGUAUGUUGGGACCCGAAAGAUGGUGAACUAUGCCUGAAUAGGGUGAAGCCAGAGGAAACUCUGGUGGAGGCUCGUAGCGAUUCUGACGUGCAAAUCGAUCGUCAAAUUUGGGUAUAGGGGCGAAAGACU
rnacentral:rRNA from 1 species